UACAGAGGGUGCGAGCGUUAAUCGGAAUUACUGGGCGUAAAGCGCGCGUAGGCGGCUUUGCAAGUCGAGUGUGAAAUCCCCAGGCUUAACCUGGGAACUGCAUUCGAGACUGCAUAGCUAGAGUAUGGGAGAGGGAAGUGGAAUUUCAGGUGUAGCGGUGAAAUGCGUAGAUAUCUGAAGGAACAUCAGUGGUGAAAGCGACUUCCUGGACCAAUACUGACGCUCAUGUGCGAAAGCGUGGGGAGCAAACAGG
rnacentral:rRNA from 1 species